rnacentral:tRNA from 1 species
CCUGGUGGCUCAGAGGUUAAAGUGUCUGCCUGCGAUGUAGGAGACCCGGGUUCGAAUCCUGGGUCAGGA